rnacentral:rRNA from 1 species
UAGUCAUAUGCUUGUCUCAAAGAUUAAGCCAUGCAUGUCUAAGUAUAAGCAAUCUAUACGGUGAAACUGCGAAUGGCUCAUUAAAUCAGUUAUCGUUUAUUUGAUAGUACCUUACUACUUGGAUAACCGUGGUAAUUCUAGAGCUAAUACAUGCUAAAAACCCCGACUUCGGAAGGGGUGUAUCUAUUAGAUAAAAAACCAAUGCCCUUCGGGGCUCCUUGGUGAUUCAUAAUAACUUAACGAAUCGCGUGGCCUUGUGCCGGCGAUGGUUCAUUCAAAUUUCUGCCCUAUCAACUUUCGAUUGUAAGGUAGUGGCUUACAAUGGUUUCAACGGGUAACGGGGAAUUAGGGUUCUAUUCCGGAGAGGGAGCCUGAGAAACGGCUACCACAUCCAAGGAAGGCAGCAGGCGCGCAAAUUACCCAAUCCCGACACGGGGAGGUAGUGACAAUAAAUACUGAUACAGGGCUCUUUUGGGUCUUGUAAUUGGAAUGAGUACAAUUUAAAUCCCUUAACGAGGAACAAAUU